UCAGAUGGGGGUUGGACUUCAGAGCCGAGGCCAGAGAAGCACAGCUGUUCCCUGACAACCAGCAGUACCUCAAUCUGAGAGUCUCCAGUCUGCAGUUUGGACUCUCCUGUC